rnacentral:rRNA from 1 species
CCUUUACUAUAGCUUGACACUGAACAUUGAGCCUUGAUGUGUAGGAUAGGUGGGAGGCUUUGAAGCGUGGACGCCAGUCUGCGUGGAGCCAACCUUGAAAUACCACCCUUUAAUGUUUGAUGUUCUAACGUUGGCCCCUUACCGGGGUUGCGGACAGUGUCUGGUGGGUAGUUUGACUGGGGCGGUCUCCUCCCAAAGCGUAACGGAGGAGCACGAAGGUUAGCUAAUCC